AUUGAACGCUGGCGGAAUGCUUUACACAUGCAAGUCGAACGAUGAACCUUAGCUUGCUAAGGGGAUUAGUGGCGAACGGGUGAGUAAUAUAUCGGAACGUACCUUGUAAUGGGGGAUAACUAGUCGAAAGAUUAGCUAAUACCGCAUACGCCCUGAGGGGGAAAGUAGGGGAUCUUCGGACCUUACGUUAUAAGAGCGGCCGAUAUCUGAUUAGCUAGUUGGUGGGGUAAUGGCCUACCAAGGCGACGAUCAGUAGCUGGUCUGAGAGGACGACCAGCCACACUGGAACUGAGACACGGUCCAGACUCCUACGGGAGGCAGCAGUGGGGAAUUUUGGACAAUGGGCGCAAGCCUGAUCCAGCCAUUCCGCGUGAGUGAAGAAGGCCUUCGGGUUGUAAAGCUCUUUCGCAAGGGAAGAAGACUUACAUUCUAAUAAAGUGUGAGGCUGACGGUACCUUGAUAAGAAGCACCGGCUAACUACGUGCCAGCCGCCGCCGUAA
rnacentral:rRNA from 1 species